AUAGCGUAUAUUAAAGUUGUUGCAGUUAAAAAGCUCGUAGUUGAACCUUGGGCCUGGCUGGCCGGUCCGCCUCACCGCGUGUACUGGUCCGGCCGGGCCUUUCCUUCUGGAGAGCCCCAUGCCCUUCACUGGGCGUGUGGGGGAACCAGGACUUUUACUUUGAAAAAAUUAGAGUGUUCAAAGCAGGCCUUUGCUCGAAUACGUUAGCAUGGAAUAAUAGAAUAGGACGUGCGGUUCUAUUUUGUUGGUUUCUAGAACCGCCGUAAUGAUUAAUAGGGAUAGUCGGGGGCAUCAGUAUUCAAUUGUCAGAGGUGAAAUUCUUGGAUUUAUUGAAGACUAACUACUG
rnacentral:rRNA from 1 species